rnacentral:lncRNA from 1 species
CAUGAUAUUAGAAUUGAGCAGAUUUUGAGAUAUGUUGAAUAGAAAGAAAAUGAGAUUUCAGAUGAGAUUCUAUGUUUAUGUAUAUGUUAUUUUUGAAAUCAUUAGACAGUACCCUUCCCUCCAGAUACAGAGAAACAGAUAAUAUGAGAUGAGAAAAGAGAUACAGACAAGAGAUACAGAUAAGAUGAGAUAGAGGCCUUUGGGGCCCGUCGGGACACACAUAGAGGCUUUGGGCCGUGUGUUCGGGCGCUUUUGCCUUUUGGGGGCUUAUGCAUGCACAGUACAGAUAUAUGAGAUAAGAGAUAUGAGAUAUGAGAUAUGAGAUGAGAUCGUCCCCAUCUAUCCGUUGUAGCUCCGGGGCGUGACGUUACCCAGAUAGUACGUCAUUGCCCGUCCGUCGAGAUCCGGAUAUGAUCAGAUUAUUCCCUGGGUACUUGUUUGAUGACAGUUUUUAGUAUUCAGUAUUUGAUAUGAUGAGUAUUAUAUGAUUCCAUCGAUUUUAUGCGAAUAUAUGUAUUAUAGUGUUUCAAUGAACUGAUUUGCAUUAAAUGAGUUUGAGCAAGUUCUUAUGAUAUUUUGAGAAAUUGAAAUUGAUUUGAGAAACAAUUUGAGAAAUUGAUUUGAGAAAGAUUAAAUCAUUUUAAAUAAAUUUAUUAAAUUGUCAGUAACUACUAUCCACUCACUGAGCUCACUGAGUUUUAUACUCACCCCUCUUUUAUUAUUUUAUAUUUUUCCCCCCACAGGAGAGUUACAGGUACAUCAGUCAACCCAGUAGCGAACGUUAGUGUGAUAUUGUGGCCACGUGAUGGUGCUAGGAGUCGUGGAUUUUCACUGUGAGUGGAAUAUACAAACCUAUUUUCAUAGUAUAUGCUGAUUUUAUGAUAAGUAUUUAAUGCUUCGAUUAAAUGAUUUUCCGGUAAAUUAAUUUUUAUCUAUGUGUCGGUCUUUAUUGUUAUUGAGAAUGAGUUUGAUUAAUGAUUUUAUUAGCGUUUUUGAGUAAAGGCAUGAUAUUAGAAUUGAGCAGAUUUUGAGAUAUGUUGAAUAGAAAGAAAAUGAGAUUUCGGAUGAGAUUCUAUGUUUAUGUAUAUGUUAUUUUUGAAAUCAUUAGACAGUACCCUUCCCUCCAGAUACAGAGAAACAGAUAAUAUGAGAUGAGAAAAGAGAUACAGACAAGAGAUACAGAUAAGAUGAGAUAGAGGCCUUUGGGGCCCGUCGGGACACACAUAGAGGCUUUGGGCCGUGUGUUCGGGCGCUUUUGCCUUUUGGGGGCUUAUGCAUGCACAGUACAGAUAUAUGAGAUAUGAGAUGAGAUCGUCCCCAUCUAUCCGUUGUAGCUCCGGGGCGUGACGCUACCCAGAUAGUACGUCAUUGCCCGUCCGUCGAGGUCCGGAUAUGAUCAGAUUAUCCCUUGGGUACUUGUUUGAUGACAGUUUUUAGUCUUCAGUAUUUGAUAUGAUGAGUAUUAUAUGAUUCCAUCGAUUUUAUGCGAAUAUAUGUAUUAUAGUGUUUCAAUGAACUGAUUUGCAUUAAAUGAGUUUGAGCAAGUUCUUAUGAUAUUUUGAGAAAUUGAAAUUGAUUUGAGAAACGAUUUGAGAAAUUGAUUUGAGAAAGAUUAAAUCAUUUUAAAUAAAUUUAUUAAAUUGUCAGUAACUACUAUCCACUCACUGAGCUCACUGAGUUUUAUACUCAC